GUUUAAGGGAAAAUGCCAUCUCUAUCCUGGAUGACAUCUUAAAAAUAGAAGUAAAACUAAUGAUUGAUCAUUACUGACCUCAAUAUGCUUUGUGUAGGAUAACAAUAAAACACUCAGCAGAAUGAACAAAAUCCUGAUAUAUAUAAUUCAAAGUAUAUAAGUUCCACUGGAAUUGGAGGAAAGUCAGGAUAGCAAGGAUUAAUACUAGGCAAAUCCUGAAUUAUCAACAUUACAAUGUGAACUGAGUAGCCCAAUGCCCAAUAAUUAUGACCUGGAAAACCUGGCACAGCACCCAUGAGGAACAUCAGCUCAGGAAGACCACUCCCCACAGAGUCCAUGGAGGAGGG
rnacentral:lncRNA from 1 species